AUAUAUAUAUCAACCUCUCUUGUUGAGUGGUUUGGAUGUGGGGGUUUGCUGGCCUGUUCAGCUCCUCUGAAAUACAUUAGCGGAACAACCUGUUCAUUGGUGUGAUAACUAUCUACGCUAUUGAAUGUGAGGUGCAGUUCAGCUUUCUAACGGUCCUUGGACAAUUUACCAUUU
rnacentral:misc_RNA from 1 species